UUGGUGAUAAUAAUAUAAAAGUGCGAGUAAAAACUGGUAAAAACAACACUUUCCUUGAAAAUUUCGGUGACUGCCGAGAUAAUAAGAGCGAAAAUCGAAGCAAUAAAGGAUCAGCUUCUCACUUCUGAUUUUUGGUCGAAAUAACGUUUGAAGCAAAUCAUCAGGAGUGACAAAUGAGCGAACUAAAGAAUUGUUCGGUGAAGGGUCAACGACCGUUUAUAUUCCAAACGAAGGAAGAAUAUGCCAUUCUCAGAGAAGAUUGGAGUUUGGCAUUCAUUACCGUCCUGUUGUUGUUGAAUGUUGGCAGACACGAAAGAAACAACACCAACAAAUUUCGUAAAGGUUACACAAUUCACACUGUCGUCUCGAAGUUUUACGAACUCUGAAGUGCAGGCAAUUACAACUCAUACCGGGCAUUACAACUUGUGUUGGAUAAUCUACAUGGCUGACAUUGGCUGACGCGGUUCAUUGUGAAGGGCAGUGUGACUCGCCGUGCACAAUCUUUUGAAAAUGUUUGCUGGCAAUAAAAUUUGGCUUCCGCCACCCCAGGACAGUGCUACGAACUGCUCAGACUUUGGUUCAUUUUUGGUGUCCGUCAACUCAGUGCUACGAACUGCUUCGACUUUGUCACAUUAACGACAUUGAUGACGUUGUCAAUUUCGCAAAAUCACGUAACAAGUCCCUAUGCACUAAGACGGAUCAGUUUUUGCGUGUCCGGGAGACGAUCUUUAUCCAACCGAUCCAUGAUAUUCGCACACUGUUCAUGAUCCACGCAUUAACAAGGAAAAAUCAUGCGAAGAGAUCACUGCUUUGGCAACGAAAUUGCAUCGGUAUGACAGUGGGGUUUUUUCGUAUCAAAUGAAUAUAGAACCGUUCAACGGACACCUGAGCCAAUUUAACAAAUUCAGAACUCACAAACAAAACUUGAAGCUUAGAGAGUCUAAUAAAAUCACUCGAAUGAAUGUCACAUCGAGCA